GGGGAUGUUUUGGCUUCGACGGGGGUAAGUGAGAUUUGGUAAGCGGGCCGAGGGAAGCAUGGUGCCUCGAUAAUAAAGUAUGCAUUAAAUAUAAACGCAGAAGACAAUUUUGCACUAGCAGCUUAAUAAACGCUGCUCAUCAGCCCCGGGUUGCCCACGACUUGGGAUGUCUGGUGUCAUUAUUAGUGGGGAACCGAGCUUAGCAAAGCUUUGAGCUAGGAACGGAACUUAUGAAGCUAGCGAACAUGAUGCCUGUCUGUAGGCCUUCAUGUAAGCGAAAUUUAAUAUACAGACUACGCUCGUAGAAAGCUGAAUUAAACUACUUUCGGACACGGGUUCGACACCCGUCAUCUCCACCA
rnacentral:tmRNA from 1 species